AAUACAUGCAAGUCGAACGCACAGCGAAAGGUGCUUGCACCUUUCAAGUGAGUGGCGAACGGGUGAGUAACACGUGGACAACCUGCCUCAAGGCUGGGGAUAACAUUUGGAAACAGAUGCUAAUACCGAAUAAAACUUAGUGUCGCAUGACACAAAGUUAAAAGGCGCUUCGGCGUCACCUAGAGAUGGAUCCGCGGUGCAUUAGUUAGUUGGUGGGGUAAAGGCCUACCAAGACAAUGAUGCAUAGCCGAGUUGAGAGACUGAUCGGCCACAUUGGGACUGAGACACGGCCCAAACUCCUACGGGAGGCUGCAGUAGGGAAUCUUCCACAAUGGGCGAAAGCCUGAUGGAGCAACGCCGCGUGUGUGAUGAAGGCUUUCGGGUCGUAAAGCACUGUUGUAUGGGAAGAACAGCUAGAAUAGGAAAUGAUUUUAGUUUGACGGUACCAUACCAGAAAGGGACGGCUAAAUACGUGCCAGCAGCCGCGGUAAUACGUAUGUCCCGAGCGUUAUCCGGAUUUAUUGGGCGUAAAGCGAGCGCAGACGGUUUAUUAAGUCUGAUGUGAAAGCCCGGAGCUCAACUCCGGAAUGGCAUUGGAAACUGGUUAACUUGAGUGCAGUAGAGGUAAGUGGAACUCCAUGUGUAGCGGUGGAAUGCGUAGAUAUAUGGAAGAACACCAGUGGCGAAGGCGGCUUACUGGACUGCAACUGACGUUGAGGCUCGAAAGUGUGGGUAGCAAACAGGAUUAGAUACCCUGGUAGUCCACACCGUAAACGAUGAACACUAGGUGUUAGGAGGUUUCCGCCUCUUAGUGCCGAAGCUAACGCAUUAAGUGUUCCGCCUGGGGAGUACGACCGCAAGGUUGAAACUCAAAGGAAUUGACGGGGACCCGCACAAGCGGUGGAGCAUGUGGUUUAAUUCGAAGCAACGCGAAGAACCUUACCAGGUCUUGACAUCCUUUGAAGCUUUUAGAGAUAGAAGUGUUCUCUUCGGAGACAAAGUGACAGGUGGUGCAUGGUCGUCGUCAGCUCGUGUCGUGAGAUGUUGGGUUAAGUCCCGCAACGAGCGCAACCCUUAUUGUUAGUUGCC
rnacentral:rRNA from 1 species